AUGUGUAUCAAAGGAACAUCAUUCAUCAAAUUUUGCAAGCCUUUGAAUAAGGGCCAUUGCAAAAUAAUAGGGAGGGGAAAAAAAUCAACACAGAACUAUUCAUCAUGUUAUUUAAAAAAAGCAAACUUAAACCAGGUUUGGCAAAACGUCCAAGCUUUAAACAUCAUUUCAGAGUUGACCCUAGUGUCCAAGGGGUUAAAUUUCUUUAAUUUCCCAAGUCUUUGGACCCCAAGACCCCCAUUCAGCUGCAUUUGUCCCUAAAGUACAAUAAGAAAAAAGCUAAUUUUAUUCAUUAACUUGCUCUUUAUCAGCAGUAUCACAAGGAAUGCUCAGCCCUGGGGGCCCACUGGAGUCACUUGGGGAGCUUCUAAAAAUCUCUUUGCUCCUGGCCACAUCCCAGACCAAGAACAUCAGAUCUCUAAUGAAGCUUGUGAAUCCUAAAUGUCUCCCUUAAAAUGAGGCCCUUGCUUUAGAAUAUGGAGAUAGCUACUGUCCAGCGCUCUGACUGAAGGGGUGAUGAAUUGGGAGAGAACUCUUAACUUGUUGAAGAUCUUCUGAUGCCAGCCUUGUCCCAGCUACUUAACAGUCCUACAAGACAGGUAUUACUGCGUUCACUUUGUAGAGGACACAAAUGCCAGUCAGGAGGGUGGAGUGACUUGUUCAAGGCGGCAAAGUGGGAAUGUGGAGGCAGGCUUCACUCUUUCCUCCUCAGGAGAGAGGAGAGAGACAAGAGUCGCUGUGACAUCCUCUGCCUGCUCCCUCCUGUGUAAGGCAACGCCUCUCUGUCCUUCCACCUGGACCCCUGUGCCCAGCUUGGAAACAGUUCAUGACCUGCUCCACUUCUGAGGCCUCUGUAGCUAAAGGUCAAGGUCAGCACUCCUCUCCCAUCCCUACGCCCCCAGGACUCUCAGAUAGAUGGCAGGUGACACGGGCCCUGCUGGCUUCUCCCUGAGACUCUCUUCAGGCAUCCUCUUCCUUUCUGUGAUCUGACCAGUAUCAGCCACU
rnacentral:lncRNA from 1 species